rnacentral:lncRNA from 1 species
UUUUUUUUUUUUUUUUUUUUUUUUGCCUGUUCUAGGGCCACUCCCAUGGCACAUGGAGGUUCCCAGGCUAGGGGUCAAAUUGGAGCUGUGGCCGCUGGCCCACGCCAGAGCCACAGCAACACGGGAUCCAAGCCACACCUGUGACCCACAUCACAGCUCACGGCAACGCCGGAUCCCCAACCCACUGAGCAAGGCCAGGGAUCGAACCUGCAACCCCAUGGUUCCUAGUCAGAUUCAUUAACUGAGCCACGACGGGACUCCAAAAUCCUGGUAAUAGAAUAAUUAAAUAUUUUGAUGUGUUAAAAUUCACCACUGAAGUUAAUGUAUCUAUUGGGAGAGAUACUUUGAGGCUAUGCAGAUAUACUGUUUAUCCUUAAAUAUUUGUUCACACAUUUUAUCAUUCAUCAUUGGCCUUGCCUACAGUGAUUACUGUGGUAUUCUCAUGGUGAUUUUCUAUUUUCACAUUUCUUCUUCAUUUGUUACUUUAAAUUGUUUCCUAAGAAAGAUCUGUUCUUUAUUUAAAUGAGAUGGAUUCAUGGUUAUUAUAUUAGCUUUCUAUUGCAUCUUUAAAGAUAUUGCAUUUAGUGACUCAACAACAACAUGCAUUUAUCGUCUCACAUUUCUCAUGUGUCAGAGUCUGGGCAGGCUGUAGCUCAGCCAGUUGCCCUGUUCUAAGACCCACAAGGCAGAAACCAGGUAUACACAGGGCUGAAUAAUUUUCUAGAGUCACUUCCAAGUUCACUCAGGUUGUUGGUAGGAUUCAUUUACCUGCAGUCAUGGGCCUGAAGUGUACUUGCUGGAUUUCAGCCAGGUGUCCUUCUCUGCUUCUAGAAACCACCAGCAUUUGCAGAUUCACAGUCCCUUUCCAAGCCAGAAAGGAUGGGCAGGCCACCUCAUGCUUUGAAUCUCUUCUCUGACUCUCUCUGUGCUGCAUCUCUCUCUCCGAGCCCUGCUGGAUAGAAAUCUCUCUGCUGUUAAGGGCUCAAGUGAUUAGAUUGGGCCUAUCUGGAGAACUGAGGAUAAUCUCCUUAUUUAAAGUUUCAUAACCUUAAUUAUAUCUGCAAAGUUCUUUUUGCCAGGUAACAUAAAGUGUUCCAGGCAACAGAGAUUAAAGGAGCCACAAUCCUCCUACCACAGUUACUUAUUUUAUUCUUUGGUAUAUAAACAAAUGAUUUUGUGCUGUGUUUUGGUACUCACAUCCUUCUAGCUUUGCUCAUUAGAAGCUUAUUUCAGGUUGGUUCCUAGGUCCUUUAUCAUACCUCUCCUCCUUUUUAGCACUUUUUUACUUUGUGACACUACUGAAUGCCCCCAAGCUCAUCUGUUAUUUUCCCUGCCCUAGCCCCUAUGGUGAGAAAUUUCUAUAAGGAGCCUAUUCAGUAUCUUGUAAUAAUUUAUAAUGGAAAAGAAUCUGUAAAGUGUAUGUGUGUGUGUGUGUGUGUACGUGUGUGUGUAUAAACUGAAUCACUUUGCCAUGUACUUGAAAUGCUAUAAAUCAAUUUUAUUUCAAUAAAAAAUAAAAGUUAUAGAAAAACAGAUCAAACACAAGAUGAGAGGGAAAAAAUCCAAUUAUCUAUAGAUGUCAGACAACUAGCAGACAGAGAACACUACAAUUCACAUUACAUGUAAACAGGUAAAUAUACACGAAUCCUUUAGACUCUGCUCUGGAGUCUGCAUCUGAUUUAUGACUCAAAAAGAGACUGUGAUUUAGAUCUAGAUGCCAGUGUUAUCCUAUUACUACCUCAUGACUUCCUUAAAAUAAGGACCAUUCUUUGACAUUAUGCCCUUUAAUAUGGCCUAUCUCCUUUUCUCUCUCUUUUUUUUAGUUUUAAAUAAAUUUUAUUUGAAUAUAGGUGACUUAAAAUGUUAUGUUAGUUUCAGAUGUACAGCAAAGUGAAUCAGCCAUUCAUAUACAUAUAUAUCCAUUCUCUUUUGGAUUCUUUCUCCAUAUGGGCUAUCAGAGAGUAUUGAAUACAUUUCCCCAGGCUGUAGGUCCCUGUUAUUCAUCUAUUUUGUAUAUAUAAUAGUAUGUCUAUGCCAAUCCCAACCUCCCAAUCUAUUCCUCCAUUUCUUCCCCCCAACAGUGUCUCCCCUUUAGUAAGUAUAAGUUUGGUUUUGAAAUCUUUGAGCCUGUUGUUUUGUGAAUAUGUUUUGUAUCAUUUUUAUUAGAUUCAACAUAUAAGUUAUAGCAUAUGUUAUUUGUCUUUCUCAUUCUGACUUCACUUGUAAUGAUAAUCUCUGGAUCCAUCCAUGGUGCUACAAAUGGCAUUAUUUCAUUCUUUUUUAAUGGGUGAGUAACAUUCCAUUGUAUGUAUGUACCACAUCUUCUUCAUUCUUCGUUGAUGGACAUUUGGGUUGCUUCCAUGUCUUGGCCACUAAAUACUGUUGCAGUGAACAUUGAGGUGCAUGAUUACUCUGGUUUCUCUUCAGAUCUUAUAAAUCUUUUCCUUUUCUCUUGAUUUUGUCUUUCUGGAACUUCUUUGAGCAUCAUGUCUCCUCUCUUUCAUACUUACAUUUUUUUUUUUUGUCUUUUUGCCAUUUUCUUGGGCCGCUCUCAUGGCAUAUGGAGGUUCCCAGGCUAGGGGUUGAAUCGGAGCUGUAGCCACCAGCCUACGCCAGAGCCACAGCAACGCUGGAUCCAAGCCGCGUCUGCAACCUACACCACAGCUCACGGCAACGCCGGAUCAUUAACCCACUGAGCAAGGGCAAGGAUCCAACCGAACCCGCAACCUCAUGGUUCCUAGUCGGGUUCGUUAACCACUGCGCCACGACGGGAACUCCCAUACUUACAUUUUUAAAAAUUUCUAUAUUUUUUUCUAAGUCAUUGAUUUUUUUAUGACCUACAAAUUCAAUUAACUUUAUCUGGCACUAAAUACAUCCACUAUUUUUUUAAUGUUUAUAUUUUAUUGUUAUUUAUAAAUCAGUAUGGACAAAGAAAUAACAGCUUAUGUGCUGAAAAACUUAAUAAAAUCAUUUUUACCAUGAUCACUAUUUCUAUUGUAUACAUAUGUAUAAAUUCUGUUACUGCUGUUUUAGCAGUGGAGUCCUUUAAAUGAUAAUUUACUUCAAUUUUUUCCAACAUUCCUAAUUUUAAAUUGUACCUUAUAAGCUAUAUUCUGUGAGAAAACUCCAUAUCAAAAGUUUGACAUUUGAACUUUAAUACAGACUAAUCUGGCUACUGGUUUAAACCUUACCAAAUCCUGACUCCCAUCUAGUUAAAUGUUUGAUAACUCACAUUUUAUACACAAGAAUCCUGAGAUGUUGACUUUCCAUAGGUUAAAGAAUAAGUAAAGUGGUAAAAUUAGAAUUCAAGUCCCCUGGUAAUCUCUUCUCCUUACUACCACCUUUGCAGUGAAUAAAUCCUGAGGGUUUCUGCUAGAUCUUUUAUGGUGUAAAAAAAAGCUAUUUUGGUCCAAAGAGGAAGGUAAAGUACAUGAUAUCUGCCUUCACAAGAUUUGCAUCCUUUUUAGAAUAUUUCUGGAAAGUCUAAUCACCAUGUUGACUCAAGUACUGUUGUAGAGGAGUAAAUGCAAUGUAAGAUUCCUGCACUCUACCUUGUGGACCACAUAGAGAUGGAAUUGAUGGUCGGUACCAUCCCGAAGUUAAUAGUGGGCAGUCUAUGGAUUGAACCUAAAAAUCAAACACGUGGCAUAAUGGAAUGAUAGUUUAGAAAAGAGGUGUAGAAUGCUCUUUUAUUUUUUCAGUCACCAAUCUGAUAUGCUUUCAAGCUUCUUCUGUUUUUUGUUUUCCUGAAGACUUCUGUAGCAUUCAUGAAUAUGUACACUUCAAUCAGUUUGUAAUCUUGCAGCACAUAUCAACCCCUCAGACUGUUUAUCAAAGUUACAUUAAUUGUGGUAAGGCCUGAAUUACAUCAGUUCUUCCAACUACACCAUAAGCUCCAUGAAAGCUGGAGACAAAUGUGCAGUAAUGUUUAGUCUUACAUCUUUUCUCAUGACAUUUAGAUGUCAACAAAAUCAUUACUAAAAAAAUCUAACAUAAUUUAGCCAAUUUCACAUGAGAAAAAAAUGAAUGUAUCUUAAAAUCAUGUUUUUCCACACUUUCUGCAUGAUAUUUUUUCUUUCAUACAAUUUGUAAUUCUUUUGUCAUUCCAUGUAGAAUAACAAUCUCUCAUACACCCAGAAUAUCAGUUUAAUCAAUAUUAAUGAUUAUGUAAUUUAGAGUGGUCAUCAUCUUCCUUAACCAAAGUAUGAUUAUUUAAGGGUAAAUUCCACUCCUAUUAAUAUAAAUGAAAUGGACAUAUAUUGAAAUGCAUAAAGCUUUUCUUAUAUUUAAAACUUUUUUCUUAGGCUGGAUUCCCAGCAUUGUAAUUACAAAAGCUGAGAGGGCAUUUUGGCAUAUUGAAAUAGAAUGAUUUUCAGAUUAUGUAAAAUGCUUCCUGAAUGCACCUCAUGUGUGAUAGAAAUAAGGCAUCUAGGGUUUAUAAUUACAGUAUUUUGUCAUAGGAAACAUGGAAAUACUUUAUCAGAGAAAUUACAUUUUAAAAAAAUUAUAUUUUAUUGCUGUACUUUCUUGUGUCUGAAUGUACUGUACAGAAAGAAUUUUUGAUUGUAGUAUUUACAACAGCAGUUCAUUCAGAGGAGAACCAUUCAUGCUUAUCGUUAUAUGCAAUCAUGAAAUGAAUAGCCAUUUAGCUUCCUGACAUGGUGUCUCAUGUAUUGUUUCUUCUUAUACUACAUCAAAGUUUAGAUGGGAAGGAAUUUGCUAAAUUUGGGGACCCAAUACUUGCAUACUUGAAAUUUACAUUUUUGUUUCCAGUUAAUUUCUGUUCUUUGAGCUCAUCCUUAGUGUAUCACUAUAAAUGAGUGGUGGGAAAAAAGAAACAUUCCAGGUGUAAAGAGCAGAAAUAGAGUUAAUAUAGGGAAGUUUAAGACUUAAAAAAUCAACAGAUGGCCUGUAGGAAGAUGGAGCAUGAUAAUGUGAGAAAAAAAGAAUGUAUGCAUGUAUGUGUAAUUGGGUCACCAUGCUGUACAGUAGGAAAAAAAUGUAUUGGGGAAAUAAUAAAUAAAAAAUAAAUAGAAGUUUUAAAAAAAGAGAGAUCAGUGGACCUUGAAAAUAACUCUGUACAGCAGAAAUUGACACAGCAUUGUAAAUCAAAUAUAACUAAAAGAAGAAAAUAACUUUGUAUGACAUUAUAAUGUUGGAUAUAUGUCAUUUCAUCAAAACUCACUGUAUAACAUCAAGAGUGAAACUGAAGGUAAAGGAUGAACCUUGGGUGAUGAUGAUGUGUUCACUGUAGGUUCAUCCUCCAUGAAAUGGUACUAGUGAUGUGACAUUGACAAUAGGGAAGACUGUGUGUGGGGGAGGGCAGGAAGUGUAAGAGAGAAAUCUUUGUACCUUCCUGUAAAUAUUGUGGUUAACCUCAAACUGCUCCAAGAAUAAAGUCUUUAAAUGAAAAGGAACCAAUGGUCACUGCUGUGAUCCAGGGUCACUGCAGAUGACCUAGAAACUGGCCAUCCAAAUACUGGUUUGCUCGCUGGAAGAAAUAAUCAGCAUUGGUUGGCUCCCCUUCUUAAAUAUUCCUUCUACAUAUCAAACAAAUGCUUCUUAGCCUGGAUCAUAUCUCUUCUCCAAAUGAAGCCACAAGGAAAUAGAAAAAAAAUAGUUUUGACUUUUUCAUCUCUAAGUUCAGAAAGGCACACACUAGAAGAAGAUAAGAAUGGAUGUGGAGAAUUAACAAGCCGUAUUCUACCCUGGCUUCCUACUGAAGAUCUAUACAACUUAUAAAGACAUGUAAAAUCCACUAAUAAACAACCGUGCACACCUAAUGUACUGUACUUAUUCUUGGCAUGUCCACAGAUACAUGCAUGCAUUUAACAUUUUACCAGGGAAUAUCUGAGUGUCCUUUUAUUUACUUCAUUUAUCUGUGAGUGAUUAUUAUUUCUGUAAUUCAAACAUCGGCAAACAACCUCUAGCACACAAUGUCUUUAUAAGGCAGGGUGAGAAGGAUGAACAGCUUCUGCUACAGUCCUCACUUAGGCAACUGCCCAAAGUUCAUAUUUUGAAAAACUUUUUUCCCCCACAUUUCCUAUGUUCCAUUAACUUUUUGGAUGGCCAGGGUUGUUUAUUUGGGGAUAGAGGAGGCCAGAAUCUCUCUUAUUGAGGAGUCAUAGCUGUCUGGAUCUUAUGACUCCUUGGGUUCUGUAAUAAGUCAUUUUCUUUCACCACCAGACUUAGCAGUUAUUAGGAAAUGCUUUGAUUAUUUCAGGAACAUUGUAGAGGAAAUUUGAAAUAAAGUGUUUUUGCAGAAAUUGGGAACAAAAUGUGUGUCAUUUAAAAUUUGACAUCAAAACUUCAUAAUUAAAACCAUUCCAAGUUGUAUAGUUUCUGAAGUGCUGUAAUUAUUGACAUUUUAAAAUAAAACUCCUGCUUUUUCUUAGGAUAUAGUCACAAGAGAAUGUUCUUACACCCUAGCAACAUGAUCAAAAUAUCUGAGAACUUAGUUGCAAAGAAUCUAACUCAAAUCCAAAAAAUGGCAGCUCUGUUGGGGAACGAGGGACCGACAGCCACUGUCAUUCUUGGCAGAGCAGCAGGAAACAAAGGGAACUGCCACAGAUGCAAGAGCACUGAUGAAAUUGAUAAAACUAGUAAAACCUUGAGGGCAUUCUGGCAUGAGAGUCCAGAAUCCCUGGGAAGCCCAGACACAACAGAAAUCUCCAUGCAAUUUCCACUUUUUACACAGGCUUCCAACAGACAGCUCCUGAGAGUGACUGGAAGCUGAAAGAGCCCUCCCCUGAGGAAAGAGUGCUAACCUCUGAGAGUUGUCAAGGAGGAGAGACGUCCACCAGGCACAUCAAGUCUACUCUGAGGAGGCAGCAAUUGCCUUCAGUUUGAGAGAAGUUCAGAAGGCAUGCUGAGCCUCCCCCAGGUGAAUACUCAAGGAUCCUUUGAAAAUCAAAUCUUAGAGACACAACUGGGAGAA